AAAGCCAACAGUAGUCAUACCUCCAUCAUCAAGUUUGCAGAUGACACAGUAAUCUUGGGCCUGAUUAGUAACAGCAAUGAACUCUACUUGGAGUACUUCAAUGAGCUCUACUUGGAUCAGGUUGAUGAGGUGGCACAGUGGUGUCACUCUAACAUCUUGACACUGAAUGUCAAUAAAACCAAAGAAAUGGUAGUGAAUUACAGAAGGCAGCAGGAGAACUACAGUUACACCCCACUAAUGAUCAGCGGGCAACCUGUAGAGAGAGUCACAUACAGUACUCUGCUUGCAAUAAAAAUGGUGAAUUCCAGUGAAAGACUAGUUGCUGAAAUGAUGGCGCAGCUCCACUGACACCUCCCUCACCCUCUGCGGAGCAAGAUAAGGUGAAAGGUCACCCAGUGAUAUCUGCCGUGAGGCUGCCAGAGGGUUUAUCAGUCUGUGACUACAUAAAGGACAUGGACAAAGAGCAAUGGACAGCUAUUUCUCAAGGAACCAUUGGUCCUGCAGUGAGUUGUGAGGACUGCUUCCCUGAGAACACUGAGUGCAUUCUGGAAUAUUCCAAAUGUGUGCCACUUCCAUACAAAAGAAGUUCCAAUCCCGCAAGAGAGUUCACUCACCAGUGGGCUUCAUCAACAGACCAGGGCAAAGUCGGUCUGUCCCGCUACUACAACAUGCUACUUGACUAUGUCUGGAAGUCAUGGCUGCUGCCCUCAACAUGCUGUGUUUGUGUGUUUUCAAUGAGGGCUAUGGGAAACUGAAACCCUCACAAAUAAAGUCACAAAUCAAGAAUUAACAUUGAUGGUGAUGGUGGCAAGGGUGCCUUCAUAAGGUGCCAUCCAGCAAGUCCCAGCCUGGAGCCAGAGGCUGGCACUGCACGUCAGAUGGGGGAGGAUCUAUGUUAGGCAUCAGAAAGGUGAUUUAAGCAAGAAGGAAAGAGCUUCUGCAGACAGUGUUGCAAUUAGACACCUGACUUUUACUGAGUCCCUUUUCUGGUUUGUUUUGGAUGAACUAGAGUGGUGGGCACAGAAAUGUUGUCGAUGGGUCAAACAUUCACACACUCACACAACCACACUUGUGGAUUUGUGAAGCAAAAAAUCAUCUUUGCAUAUAAUCUGUUGCACAUUGAAUAUGCUUA